GACGAACGCUGGCGGCGUGCUUAACACAUGCAAGUCGAACGGAAAGGCCCUGCUUUUGUGGGGUGCUCGAGUGGCGAACGGGUGAGUAACACGUGAGUAACCUGCCCUUGACUUUGGGAUAACUUCAGGAAACUGGGGCUAAUACCGGAUAGGAGCUCCUGCUGCAUGGUGGGGGUUGGAAAGUUUCGGCGGUUGGGGAUGGACUCGCGGCUUAUCAGCUUGUUGGUGGGGUAGUGGCUUACCAAGGCUUUGACGGGUAGCCGGCCUGAGAGGGUGACCGGCCACAUUGGGCCUGAGAUACGGCCAAGACUCCUACGGGAGGCAGCAGUGGGGAAUAUUGCACAAUGGGCGGAAGCCUGAUGCAGCAACGCCGCGUGCGGGAUGACGGCCUUCGGGUUGUAAACCGCUUUCGCCUGUGACGAAGCGUGAGUGACGGUAAUGGGUAAAGAAGCACCGGCUAACUACGUG
rnacentral:rRNA from 1 species